UACGGAGGAUCCAAGCGUUAUCCGGAUUUAUUGGGUUUAAAGGGUGCGUAGGCGGGUUAAUAAGUCAGUGGUGAAAGCCUGCAGCUUAACUGUAGAACUGCCAUUGAUACUGUUAGUCUUGAAUGUAGUUGAGGUGGGCGGAAUAUGACAUGUAGCGGUGAAAUGCUUAGAUAUGUCAUAGAACACCGAUUGCGAAGGCAGCUCACUAAGCUAUAAUUGGCGCUGAGGCACGAAAGCGUGGGGAGCAAACAGG
rnacentral:rRNA from 1 species